AGCGAACGCUGGCGGCAGGCCUAACACAUGCAAGUCGAGCGCGUGUAGCAAUACACGAGCGGCAGACGGGUGAGUAACGCGUGGGAACGUGCCCUUCGGUUCGGAAUAACCCAGGGAAACUUGGGCUAAUACCGGAUACGUCCGCAAGGAGAAAGAUUUAUCGCCGAAGGAUCGGCCCGCGUCCGAUUAGCUAGUUGGUGAGGUAACGGCUCACCAAGGCGACGAUCGGUAGCUGGUCUGAGAGGAUGAUCAGCCACACUGGGACUGAGACACGGCCCAGACUCCUACGGGAGGCAGCAGUGGGGAAUAUUGGACAAUGGGCGCAAGCCUGAUCCAGCCAUGCCGCGUGAGUGAUGAAGGCCCUAGGGUUGUAAAGCUCUUUCGGCGGGGAAGAUAAUGACGGUACCCGCAGAAGAAGCCCCGGCUAACUUCGUGCCAGCCGCCGCGGUAAAAC
rnacentral:rRNA from 1 species